UUUGUCGAGAGAAAUUUCCGGGCAACUUCCAGUCCUUGACGCGUAUUGGUCAGCCAGCAUAGAGCCCCACGCCCCGCUUCUCUUUAACUACGCGCGCCCGCAGCAGCCCCCUGGAGCACGGCCUUGAGCUUCCCCUCCUCCUCCAUCCUCGUCGCCUCGGCAGCGCCGCCGACGUGCUUGCUCCGGACGAACACGGGGGGCACGCGCAACUACCGCCCGCCCAGCAGCAGCCGCAGCUCCAUGGGCACGUCCCGCUCCAUGACCUUCACAGCCGUGCGUAGCCCUGAACGACGCCGGGUCGGGGAUUCCCUUCUCAAUGAUGGCGCUGGCCUGUACCCUGCUUGGCCGGGCGCGGGAGAGGCACGGUCCGAGGUGGCGGCGCGACUGCCUGCCUAGGCGCCGGGGGCGGUGGACGGCCUUACCGGUGAGGCCGUCUGGCACUCUGGCUCUGGCGGCGGGGAUCGGCGCUGCUGCGUCUUUGCUCUUGGAGCACACGGGGAGAGGAAAAUAUGGCUCAACCUCUCCAACCCGUCUCAAACAACCGGUCAUUCAUUUGCUUGAGAAAAAUUUGCUGCUGUCUUACAAAACUCUGCGUUUGAAGGCCCAACCAAGUCCAGAGGAAGAAAGUUGCAUAGUAGACAUCAAGCUAUUUGUGGCGCCGUUGUCAGGGAGGUGUUUUGAAUGUAUAUCUUUAGAUCUUGUAAUUGAAUAUUUUGGUUUAUUGUUUAUUCACUAGUUUGGUUUAUAAAAAACCUAUAUAAAAAUGGAAUUGAAGUUGCAUCAAA